rnacentral:miRNA from 1 species
GCAGAAUACUUUGAUUUUGAGUGA